ensembl:lncRNA
CUGAAUUCAGAGAAGAACUGUAGGAGUGCCCCAGGGAGAUAUUUGGUAUGCUGGCUUGUUCUGACCAUGAGGAAUGAGCUCCUACACAAGGUUCCUGUCUUCUCUGCCUAUCCAACAGCUGACCCACAACACCUGGCAGAGCAGAAAGCAGUACAAAGCCGACAUAUUGCAGUACCUGCGUCCUCCAGACAAAGAUUCUGCAGAUCAACUCGCUCCUGUUCCACUGAGAUGAAAAAGCAUCCCUAGCCCAGGCGUGAUCUUUAUUCUUUCAUGCCCAAGCUGUACACUCUGACUGCCUAUUUAUCUCUCCUAAGACCGGAG